rnacentral:rRNA from 1 species
UACGGGGGGGGCAAGCGUUGUUCGGAAUUACUGGGCGUAAAGGGCUCGUAGGUGGCCAACUAAGUCAGACGUGAAAUCCCCAGGCUUAACCUGGGAACUGCGUCUGAUACUGGAUGGCUUGAAUUCGGGAGAGGGAUGCAGAAUUCCAGGUGUAGCGGUGAAAUGCGUAGAUAUCUGGAGGAACACCGGUGGCGAAGGCGGCAUCCUGGACCGAGAUUGACGCUGAGGCGCGAAAGCCAGGGGAGCAAACGGG